ACGGCCGCGGUACCCUAACCGUGCAAAGGUAGCACAAUCACUUGUUCUUUAAAUCAGGACUAGUAUGAACGGCCUAACGAGAGCUAUACUGUCUCCCCCCUCUAAUCAGUGAAACUGAUCUCCUCGUGAAAAAGCGAGGAUGCUUUCAUAAGACGAGAAGACCCCAUGGAACUUUAAACUAGUACCACCCCUCUAUUCUGAAAUUACAUGUCUACUAGUCUUUUGGUUGGGGCGACCACGGAGAAAAAUAAAACCCCCGAGAUGAAAGGAAAUAUCCUUAUCCUAGAAUUACUAUUCAAAGAAUCAACAAAUGACAUUAUUGACCCAAUACUUGAUCAACGAACCAAGCUACCCUGGGGAUAACAGCGCAAUCCAUUUCAAGAGACCUUAUCGACAAAUGGGCUUACGACCUCGAUGUUGGAUCAGGGUAUCCUAGUGGUGCAGCCGCUACUAAAGGUUCGUUUGUUCAACGAUUAAAACCCU
rnacentral:rRNA from 1 species